UACGUAGGGGUCGAGCGUUGUCCGGAGUUACUGGGCGUAAAGCGCAUGCAGGCGGCUCAUUACGCACGGCGUGAAAGCCCCCGGCUCAACCGGGGAGGGUCGUCGUGUACGGGUGAGCUUGAGGGUAUCAGGGGCUGGUGGAAUUCCCGGUGUAGUGGUGAAAUGCGUAGAGAUCGGGAGGAACACCUGUGGCGAAGGCGGCCAGCUGGGAUACACCUGACGCUGAGAUGCGAAGGCGUGGGGAGCGAACGGG
rnacentral:rRNA from 2 species